AGAGGAAGGCUGUGGAAUGUUCCAGCUGACAGCUACGGGAAAAACAAGUCAUCCAUCAGCCAAAAAGGGGGAGAUGUCAGGUCAAGCUGACCGGGACAAAAGUCAGCUGCGAGGAGGAACACAGCCCCCCUUCCAUUGCUUGUGUUGUAGUAUACAAAUUGUGGGGCCACUAGGGAAAGAUGCACCAUUUUCUCUCUGCCUGCAAAGCAUACGCUUUAGGCAGGAGGAAAACGCCCAGAAUUCUGUCAACUUAAUUUGUUGAAUAUUUGAGAAACAUAAACGGAUAAAAAUGGCAACCUGUGUGAGUCAUUGGAGUAAACUCUUUUCCGGAGAGAAAACGAACAAAUUGGUGAGUGUGGUGGUAGUUUAUUAAUUUGUAAUCUGGGGCCUUGGGCCAUGCGCAGGAUAUAACAAUCACCACCACUCCAACAAUUGGUGACCCUGACGUGAUCUCGGAAAGAUUGUUUCUUGGAACCUCCGUGGCUACACCUUUCAUUCCAAAAUAUCCAGGCCGGCCGUCCAAAAAAGGUGCUGGGGCCUAAAAGAGAGGAAAUUCUCAGUUCUUUAAAAAAGGGUGCCUGGUGCAGCAAGAGUCCAUGACUGCCGCUCCACCUGCUCCGGGUCGGACUCCCUGUGAAGCGCAGCUGUACCAAUUGGAACCACCACGCCAGACCAGCCAGCAGGAGCGUGGACAUGGAGUGAGAGGAGCAGGGUGAGUGGUACGAGAUGGAGACGACAGCUGUGCCACACAUCACAUUGGUUGUCGGAGGGAUUCGGAGAGGGACCUUCAGGCAUCUGAUGCAGUGGUGCAGCAAGAGGACAGUGGUCAAGUCGAGGUGAAGGACACAGAGUAGAUGGAAGGGAAGCAAUCGGCGGAACUGGCAGAAUUGAGAGCGGUGUUCGGCUCCGGGUCCUGGUGGAGGAAGCUCAUGGAGCGCCGCAUGUGGAUGAGGUGGUUAUGUUGGCUGUUGAGUGUUAAGCGGCUGGGAUGAGAAUCAGCACCUCCAAAUAUGAGACCAUGGUCCUCAGUCGGAAAAGGGUGGAGUGCCCUCUCUGUGUCGUGAAGUGGGCUUCCCUGCUGAGGCUGCUGCCCCCACCACCCGACCUCGGAUAAGCGGAGGAAAAUAUAUUUAGGCUGGCGACCAAUUCAGGCAGUACCCCGCCUCCCGCCCAAAGAUAGCUGGGAUAGGCUCCAGCAUGCCGGAAACCCUCGUGGGGAUAAGCGGCUUCCCCAGGUGAGCCGCAUAGAAGUCGUCCAAAAGGUGAUCGAGAAUGAGCUUCCGGGAAAUCCAAGACCAUUCCUCUGGCCCAUACCCUUCCCAGUCGACCAGGUACUGGAACCCACAUCAUGCCUGCCACGAAGCCAGUCGCCUGUUCUGUCCAUUGUCUGCCACCUGUCCAUGCCGCCACCUGUCAACACAUCCAGGACCACCUCCAUAACCUUUCCUCAAUAAACUGUUCAUCAUUUUACAUCUGCCUCCGCCUGCUCUUGGGUCCAGCUAUUCCCCACACGUGACAGAAUACUUGGGCCACUAUGGACACAGCAACUCCGGAGGCACUGAAGAACGCACUAACCCUCCAAGGCGCCCACAUUGGACGACAGGACAAAAUACUGCAUGAAAUCACCUAAAUGCUCCACUCCCUUUCGCAACAGGUCUCCCUCCUUUCCCAACAGAUGCAAUCCAUUCAACCCCCUGUAAGUACUCCUCCCGAGCCCACAGCCUCCGAGCCACCCCGCUUCCCGUACAAAGAACCUCAUUUCCCUCCGCCCGAGCCCUACUUCUGGGACCUAGGUGCGUGUACCCAGUUCCUAUUUAAUCGCUCACUCGUAUUCAAUCUCCAACCAUACAGUUAUCCCACCGAACGAUCAAAGGUAGCAUAUGUCACUAACCUCCUCUGGGGCAAAGCAGCAAAGUGGUCCACGUUCUUAUGGCAAAACUCCUCUCUGGUACUUCAUUCAUUCGAUUAUUUUUCCACCAAACUCCGCAAAGUAUUUGAUCACCCAGUUCAACAAAGAAGGCACCCAUCGCCUCCUCACGCUCACGCAAAAUGCCCUCCCGGCUCCAAUCAUGGAAAUGCAGGGCAGUAUAUGACACUCUGUCGAAUUCAUUAAACAUUACUGGCCAAUACUUGCACCUCUAUUUUUUAGAACAGUCAAGUUGAUAAAAGAUAAAGGUCAAAUAAGUAGCCAUAUGAACACAGCUUCAAUUAAAUUAUGACUAAAUUCAGGUAAAGACCCCACUCUCCCGGCUAAUUAUCGGCCCUUAUCACUGAUUAAUGUAGAUAUCAAGAUUAUCUCGAAAGCCCUCGCAGCGAGACUUGAAAAGGUUCUCCUGUCGAUAAUCCACUAUGACCGGACAGGCUUCAUUAAAGGUAGAAGUUCCACAAAUAAUGUCAGACGUCUGUUAAAUUUAAUAAUCAUGUCACAGCGUAAACAUCUAAAUGCAAUCAUGUCACUUGACGCAGAGAAAGCUUUCAAUAAAGUUAACUGCGCUUUCCUGUUUGCAGUUCUUCACAAAUUUGGCUUUGUAGACUCAUUUAUACAUUGGAUAGCAACAUUAUAACUCGCCGAAAGCGACAGUCACCACAAAUAGGAUUACUUCACAAAGUUUUACUUUACAAAGAGGAACCAGAUAAGGAUGUCCACUCUCACCAAUGCUAUUUGCAAUAUUCGUCAAACCUCUUGCUACUGCUAUACGUCAGAAUGCUAAUAUUAAAGGUAUUUGCUCUCUAGUGACAUAACACAAAAUCAAUCUGUAUGCUGAUGAUAUUC